rnacentral:lncRNA from 1 species
CUCACCCCUCCAGGCACUGUGCCAGCGUCAGGGAACCAGAGCACAGAAGAAUUUGAAUUUAAAGGAGAGGAAAUUUAGACGCAGUCAUGAAAGUGCAGAGAAGUGAUUAAAAAUCACAGCAUCUCUACAUCUCUUUUCUGCUAAAAUUUUACCCCAGGAAACAUAACGUAAUUAGCUAAUCCUGCCUGCUGAAUAGUCUUGUAGUGUCAGCCCCCUCAUAACGUCUCCUGCUGGAGUUACAAUGCCUCACGGUGAUGGGACAUCACUACCACUUCUGAUGGACAUCCACUCUGAGUUGCAGCUGCCCUCUGCUUCUGUCUCUACUGCAGCACCUCAGGUCAGCAAGCUCACUUCAUCAGAGGUGAGCCUAAGAUAUUCCUCAGGAGCUCUUCUGCCAAAAGGUUGUCCCACGAGACAGAGAAGCAGUGUAAGCAAUGACGAGUGAUCUUCAGUCACACGGUAAUCGUUGAUUCCUUCCUGUGCAUGAGAUCUUGUGCUGUUGAGACCAGACACAGGUGGUGAGCACCUCAAGAAGAAUUAAAAAGCACAUCGAAUUUUGUCACAGGCAGUCUGGAAAAUGUUUGUUGUUUUGUUUUGUUUUUUUAAUUAAAGAAUUCAACACUAACUGCCAAUUAAAAGGAACCGCAGAAACAGUCUGUUAACUAUUUAAAGAACACAAUUACGCUGCUCAC